rnacentral:rRNA from 1 species
GGGAACUGCGUUNUGAACUGGGUGACUAGAGUGUGUCAGAGGGAGGUAGAAUUCCACGUGUAGCAGUGAAAUGCGUAGAGAUGUGGAGGAAUACCGAUGGCGAAGGCAGCCUCCUGGGAUAACACUGACGUUCAUGCCCGAAAGCGUGGGUAGCAAACAGGAUUAGAUACCCUGGUAGUCCACGCCCUAAACGAUGUCGAUUAGCUGUUGGGCAGCAUGACUGCUUAGUAGCGAAGCUAACGCGUGAAAUCGACCGCCUGGGGAGUACGGUCGCAAGAUUAAAACUCGAAGGAAUUGACGGGGACCCGCACAAGCGGUGGAUGAUGUGGAUUAAUUCGAUGCAACGCGAAGAACCUUACCUGGUCUUGACAUGUGCGGAACCCUCCAGAGACGGAGGGGUGCCUUCGGGAGCCGUAACACAGGUGCUGCAUGGCUGUCGUCAGCUCGUGUCGUGAGAUGUUGGGUUAAGUCCCGCAACGAGCGCAACCCUUGUCAUUAGUUGCCAUCAUUAAGUUGGGCACUCUAAUGAGACUGCCGGUGACAAGCCGGAGGAAGGUGGGGAUGACGUCAAGUCCUCAUGGCCCUUAUGACCAGGGCUUCACACGUCAUACAAUGGUCGGUACAGAGGGUAGCCAAGCCGCGAGGUGGAGCCAAUCUCACAAAACCGAUCGUAGUCCGGAUUGCACUCUGCAACUCGAGUGCAUGAAGUCGGAAUCGCUAGUAAUCGCAGGUCAGCAUACUGCGGUGAAUACGUUCCCGGGUCUUGUACACACCGCCCGUCACACCAUGGGAGUGGGGGAUACCAGAAGUAGGUAGGGUAACCGCAAGGAGCCCGCUUACCACGGUAU